rnacentral:rRNA from 1 species
GAUGAACGCUGGCGGCGUGCCUAAUACAUGCAAGUCGAGCGAACGGACGAGAAGCUUGCUUCUCUGAUGUUAGCGGCGGACGGGUGAGUAACACGUGGAUAACCUACCUAUAAGACUGGGAUAACUUCGGGAAACCGGAGCUAAUACCGGAUAAUAUUUUGAACCGCAUGGUUCAAAAGUGAAAGACGGUCUUGCUGUCACUUAUAGAUGGAUCCGCGCUGCAUUAGCUAGUUGGUAAGGUAACGGCUUACCAAGGCAACGAUGCAUAGCCGACCUGAGAGGGUGAUCGGCCACACUGGAACUGAGACACGGUCCAGACUCCUACGGGAGGCAGCAGUAGGGAAUCUUCCGCAAUGGGCGAAAGCCUGACGGAGCAACGCCGCGUGAGUGAUGAAGGGCUUCGGAUCGUAAAACUCUGUUAUUAGGGAAGAACAUAUGUGUAAGUAACUGUGCACCUCUUGACGGUACCUAAUCAGAAAGCCACGGCUAACUACGU